rnacentral:rRNA from 1 species
AACGAACGCUGGCGGCAGGCUUAACACAUGCAAGUCGAACGCAUCCUUCGGGGUGAGUGGCAGACGGGUGAGUAACGCGUGGGAACGUGCCCUUCAGUUCGGGAUAACCCAGGGAAACUUGGGCUAAUACCGGAUACGUGCGAGAGCAGAAAGAUUUAUCGCUGAAGGAUCGGCCCGCGUCUGAUUAGCUAGUUGGUGAGGUAAUGGCUCACCAAGGCGACGAUCAGUAGCUGGUCUGAGAGGAUGAUCAGCCACACUGGGACUGAGACACGGCCCAGACUCCUACGGGAGGCAGCAGUGGGGAAUAUUGGGCAAUGGGCGCAAGCCUGAUCCAGCCAUGCCGCGUGAGUGAUGAAGGCCUUAGGGUUGUAAAGCUCUUUCGGCGGGGACGAUAAUGACGGUACCCGCAGAAGAAGCCCCGGCUAACUUCGUGCCAGCAGCCGCCGCCG